AUUCCAGCUCCAAUAGCGUAUAUUAAAGUUGUUGCAGUUAAAAAGCUCGUAUUUGAAUUUUUGUCUGUUGGGGCCUUGUUCUGUCCUUAGUGGCGGAGUUUAGUGUCCCGACGGACUUCCUGGGGGCCAACUAGUUGGUGUUUCAUUACACUGAUUAGGGAACCCCCUCGUUUACUGUGAAAAAAUUAGAGUGUUUCAAGCAGGCGUUUCGCAUUGAAUACAUUAGCAUGGAAUAAUAAGAUAGGACUUUGGUGCUAUUUUGUUGGUUUGCGCACCAAGGUAAUGAUUAAGAGGGAUAGUUGGGGGUAUUCGUAUUAUCAUGUCAGAGGUGAAAUUCUUGGAUUUUGGUAAGACGAACUACUGCGAAAGCAUUUACCAAGGAUGUUUUCAUCA
rnacentral:rRNA from 1 species